UUCUGAGGCGGCGACCGAGGGGGCAAGGAGGUCGCUACACUUGCGGCCAGCCACCAUGGGGCUUGCUCUUUAAAUAACAGCCUCUGAGGCACUGGCAGGAGCUGGGGGGCUUCCAGCCCCACGGCCACCUCGCCACUGAAAAAAGCUGAGGGAAAACUGGCUCAAAAGACGAGCCUCUCAGAGAGGAGAGAGACACUGCUGUGAGGGGCGACAGGACCCUCUUGCCGUGGAAACCUGUUUAGAAAAUGUUAUAUUUAAAGUCUCUGAGGGGAAACAAGAGUUUCUCAGUGAGAAGCUGCUUAGGCUUCCCCUUGCCAACAAAGAGGAAUAAACGUCUCUGAGGGGAAACUCCCUGCCAAAUUAUAUAUUAUAUAUCUGAGGGGAGACAAGAGUUACUCAGUGGGAAGCUCACCUCUUUCUGCUUUGGCUUCAGCUUGCCAAAAAAAGGAGGGGAAAGCCCUUUCUAAGGGGAAAGGGGGAUUCAAAGUGUGGAGUGUAUCUCUUUUAUUUUUUGGCAGAUGAAGCCAAAGUAAAGUCUCUGAGGGAAACAGUUUCUCAAUGGGGAGUUCACCUCUCUGCUUUAGCUUCAUUUUGCCAAAGAAAGAAAGGGAGGGGGGAGUCUCUCAGGUGACUUUCCUUCUCUUUUGUUAAAAAAAAUUAUCUGAGGAAAAGGCAAUCUCCAAGACAGUGCAAAAAAGGGCUAUGUGCCCAGCCUUGGCCACUACCUCACAAAAGAUUUUCUGAGGAAAGGCUGUCUCUCAGACAGUCAAGGGCUACAGGCCCAGCCUCAGGACAAGUCCCUUUUCCACAGGAAAAGGAGGAAGCCGCUUGAGAAAUGCUAUGCUGCCAGGACAAGGCUUUUUAAAAGAAUAGUUUCUGGGAGAAUGGCAGGAGUGGGGGUUUCAAGCCUGCCAACUUGGCCUUUACCUCUGUCUCACCUAAGAAGUGUCUGAGCCUGAGGGGGAACAGGGUCUAUAAGGGAGGCAUUCAUCUCUGCUUCGAUUUCAACCUGUAAAAAAAAAAAAAAAGGUUGAGAGGAAACUAGUUUCUAAGUGGGGAGUUAAUUUCUCUACUUGGGCUACAUCUUGCCAAAAAGGGGUUUCUGAGGAGAACAUAGAGUUUCUAAGGGGGGGAUUCAUCUCCCUGCUUUGGCUUCAUCCUGCCAAACCAACUCUGAGGAUGCUGCAGCCGUGCUGGCGUGAACAAAAGCCCUGCCACCUCACUGCCCACAUUUACAGCAUUUUGUCUGCCGAGGGCAAAGCGCAGCAGAUUCAUCCUGUCCUCAGAAGGCUGGGGCGCCACAGCCUUCUGCAUUACAGCAAAAAUCUGCCCAAUAUUAAAGCGUUCUUUCUCUCUGCAUACAAAUGUUAUAAAUAUGCACAGCGUAGGGCAGGACUUCUGAGCACAAUGGCACCAGGGCUGUGGCAGAAAACUAUGAGGUCAGGGGCUGUAUAAAUACAGAUGGGCUGGCUCUAAUAUUGGAAAACUCUGUUGUUCUAGGAACUGUCAGUAGAAGCUUCAGGCUUCUUUAUCCCCCCCAAGAGCUUUUUGGGGCAGCAUAAUUUCUAAGAUAGUGGCUGAAUGGAUUGGGACAUGCUUCAUGUGUGUUAGAAGCCUCAGGCUUCUGGCAGCAUAAUCUCUAAAAGGGUGGCUAGCUUGAAUGGAACACUCUUCAUGAGUGUUCCAUUCUGACUCCAAGGAAGAAACAGAACUGGCGCACCUUCUUCAAGGACCUCCAUGCCUGAACAUUGAUGUUGGAACAUUUUCUCCUGCCAAGUGGCCUCUGUGGCAGAUUUCAAGAAAGAACUAAAGGAGUCUUAAGAAUGAAUUAAAGGAAGCAACGACGCACGACAGAUGCCAAACCAGGGGCUGCAUAACUCAAUCACAACACACUGUGAAUUAUUUCCAAAAGAAGCCCAAGCCUUCUUUAUUCUCCUGCCAGCUUUGUCAGGCAUCAUAAUCUCUCAAAUGGUCCCUGUCCUGAAUGCAACAUGCUUCAUGCGUGUUAGAGGAGCUUCAGGCUUCUGUAUUUUCUCAGUGGCCGUGGGAGACACCAUCAUGCCUAAGAUGGUGGCUUUUCUUGAAAGGAACAUGCUUCAUGCAUGUUAGGAGCUUCAUGCUUCUGUAUUUUCUCAAUGGCUGCGGGAGGCAGCACCAUCCUUGGGUGUCUUGAAUGGAACAUGCUUCAUGCAUGUUCCAUUUUGCCCUCUGAAGAAUGGUUUGGCAAGAAGAAACAGAAUUGGCACACCUUUCUCGAAGACCUCCAUGCCUGGAUGUUGAUGUUAGAACGUUUUCUCCUCCCAAGUGGCCUCCGUGGCAGAUUUCAAGAAAGAAUUAAAGGAGUCUCAAGAACGAAGGAAUGGAAGCAACGAUGAAUGACAGAAGCCAAACCAGGGGAUGCAUAACUCAAGAAUCACAACACGCUGUGAAUUAUUCUCAAAGGAAGCCCAAGGUUCUUUUUCGCCCACUUGCUCUGUCAGGCAGCAUCCAUCUCUCAGAUGGUCCCUGUCCUGAAUGGAACAUGCUUCAUGCAUGUUAGGAGCUUCACGCUUCUGUAGUUUCUCAAUGCCUGUGGGAGGCAGCAUCGUCUCUAAGAUGGUGGCUGUCCGGAAUGGAACAUGCUUCAUGCAUGGUUAGGAGCUUCAUGCUUCUGUAGUUCAUCAAUGCCUGUGGGAGGCAGCAUCACCUCUAAGAUGGUGGCUCUCUUGAAUGGAACAUGCUUCACGCUUCUGUAGUUUCUCAAUGCCUGUGGGAGGCAGCAUCGUCUCUAAGAUGGUGGCUGUCCGGAAUGGAACAUGCUUCAUGCAUGGUUAGGAGCUUCAUGCUUCUGUAGUUCAUCAAUGCCUGUGGGAGGCAGCAUCACCUCUAAGAUGGUGGCUCUCUUGAAUGGAACAUGCUUCACGCUUCUGUAGUUUCUCAAUGCCUGUGGGAGGCAGCAUCAUCUCUAAGAUGGUGGCUGUCCGGAAUGGAACAUGCUUCACGCAUGUUAGGAGCUUCACGCUUCUGUAGUUUCUCAAUGCCUGUGGGAGGCAGCAUCAUCUCUAAGAUGGUGGCUCUCUUGAAUGGAACAUGCUUCACGCAUGUUAGGAGCUUCACACUUCUGUAGUUUCUCAAUGCCUGUGGGAGGCAGCAUCAUCCCUAUGAUGGUGGCUCUCUUGAAUGAAACAUGCUUCACGCAUGUUCAAUUCUGCCCUCUGAAGAAUGCUUUGAGAAGAAGAAACAGAAUUGGCGCACCUUCUUCAAGGACCUCCAUGCCUGAACGUGGAUGUGGAAACGUGUUCUCCUCCGAAGUGGCCUCUGUGGCAGAUUUCAAGAAAGAACUAAAAGAAUCUGAAGAAAGAACGAAAGGAAGCAACAAUGCACGACAGAAGCCAAACCAGGGGCUCCAUUGACAGAUGUUCCCUGUCCUGAAUGCAACAUGCUUCAUGCAUGUUAGGAGCUUCAGGCUUCUAUAUUUUCCCAAUGGCUGUGGGAGGCAGCAUCAUCCCUAAGAUGGUGGCUGUCUUGAAUGGGACAUGCUUCAUGCAUGUUCCAUUCUGCCCUCUGAAGAAUGGUUUGGCAAGAAGAAACAGAAUUGGCGCACCUUCUUCAAGGACCUCCAUGCCUGAACGUGGAUGUGGAAACGUUUUCUCCUCCAAAGUGGCCUCUGUGGCAGAUUUCAAGAAAGAACUAAAAGAAUCUGAAGAAAGAACGAAAGGAAGCAACAAUGCACGACAGAAGCCAAACCAGGGGCUCCAUUGACAGAUGUUCCCUGUCCUGAAUGGAACAUGCUUCACGCAUGUUAGGAGCUUCACGCUUCUGUAGUUUCUCAAUGCCUGUGGGAGGCAGCAUCAUCUCUAAGAUGGUGGCUGUCUUGAAUGGAACAUGCUUCACGCAUGUUAGGAGCUUCACGCUUCUGUAGUUUCUCAAUGCCUGUGGGAGGCAGCAGCAUCUCUAAGAUGGUGGCUCUCUUGAAUGGAACAGGCUUCACGCAUGUUAGGAGCUUCACGCUUCUGUAGUUUCUCAAUGCCUGUGGGAGGCAGCAGCAUCUCUAAGAUGGUGGCUCUCUUGAAUGGAACAUGCUUCAAGCAUGUUAGGAGCUUCACGCUUCUGUAGUUUCUCAAUGCCUGUGGGAGGCAGCAUCAUCCCUAUGAUCGUGGCUCUCUUGAAUGGAACAUGCUUCACGCAUGUUAGGAGCUUCACGCUUCUGUAGUUUCUCAAUGCCUGUGGGAGGCAGCAUCAUCCCUAUGAUGGUGGCUCUCUUGAAUGGAACAUGCUUCACGCAUGUUAGGAGCUUCACGCUUCUGUAGUUUCUCAAUGCCUGUGGGAGGCAGCAUCAUCCCUAUGAUGGUGGCUUUAUUGUAUGCAACAUGUUUCAUGCAUGUUCAAUUCUGCCCUCUGAAGAAUGCUUUGAGAAGAAGAAACAGAAUUGGUGCACCUUCUUCAAGGACCUCCAUGCCUGAACCUGGAUGUGGAAACUUUUUCUCCUCCAAAGUGGCCUCUGUGGCAGAUUUCAAGAAAGAACUAAAAGAAUCUGAAGAAAGAACGAAAGGAAGCAACAAUGCACGACAGAAGCCAAACCAGGGGCUCCAUUGACAGAUGUUCCCUGUCCUGAAUGCAACAUGCUUCAUGCAUGUUAGGAGCUUCAGGCUUCUAUAUUUUCCCAAUGGCUGUGGGAGGCAGCAUCAUCCCUAAGAUGGUGGCUGUCUUGAAUGGGACAUGCUUCAUGCAUGUUCCAUUCUGCCCUCUGAAGAAUGGUUUGGCAAGAAGAAACAGAAUUGGCGCACCUUCUUCAAGGACCUCCAUGCCUGAACGUGGAUGUGGAAACGUUUUCUCCUCCGAAGUGGCCUCUGUGGCAGAUUUCAAGAAAGAACUAAAAGAAUCUGAAGAAAGAACGAAAAGAAGCAACAAUGCACGACAGAAGCCAAACCAGGGGCUCCAUUGACAGUUGUUCCCUGUCCUGAAUGGAACAUGCUUCACGCAUGUUAGGAGCUUCACGCUUCUGUAGUUUCUCAAUGCCUGUGGGAGGCAGCAUCAUCUCUAAGAUGGUGGCUGUCUUGAAUGGAACAUGCUUCACGCAUGUUAGGAGCUUCACGCUUCUGUAGUUUCUCAAUGCCUGUGGGAGGCAGCAUCAUCUCUAAGAUGGUGGCUCUCUUGAAUGGAACAUGCUUCACGCUUCUGUAGUUUCUCAGUGCCUGUGGGAGGCAGCAUCAUCUCUAAGAUGGUGGCUCUCUUGAAUGGAACAUGCUUCACGCAUGUUAGGAGCUUCACGCUUCUGUAGUUUCUCAAUGCCUGUGGGAGGCAGCAUCAUCCCUAUGAUGGUGGCUCUCUUGAAUGGAACAUGCUUCACGCA